UUUAUCUCUCCAAUACCCGAAGGGAUCUCUUGCAACUGCCAAAGAUCUCGAGCAACUAGCUUUUCAAGAACUCGAAAAGCAGAGGUGUCUGCAGCACAACACACGACAUCACAACCGUCAAUUCUCAAGAACCCGAGACAAGGAAACUCAGCGUUGAAAGUGCUCCACUCGCCUCCCAAGAAAGAGUUGUGUUCUAGCUCAAGAACUUGUAGAUGUGGCAACGAACCAAUCGUUGCCAGAUCUUCUCGAGCGAGGCUGCAGUUUCACAAGCACAACUUGUUUAGGCAAGUGGGGAAUGCAAGCCUCUUGCUCAGCAAAUCCACUGGAAAUCUUCAUAACAUGAAGUGUUUGCAAGUUUCUCAAGUUGCACAUGACGUGCCUGAAUUGUGACAUCUCCCAAACGUUUGCAGAUUCCAAACAAGUUGUAGAGCUUCCAUCUCUUUGAACAGAUUCAAGCCAUCUUCACAUUUGCCUUCACGAAAUAAGGGCUCUAGCAUUAUGUUAUAAGAAACCACAUCACGUCUUUAACCUUUUGCAGNAAAAUCGAUCACAUUAUGUGUGUACAAAUAAGGGCUCUUCAAGAAGUCGAAAAGCAGCCCAACACACGACAUUACUGCUGACGAUUCUACAACACACGACAUCACAGCCGACGAUUCUCAAGAACUUCAGACAAGGAAACUCACCGUUGAAAUAGCCAGAGAUUCAGAGCAGUGAUGCAAAUGAAUGAGUUUGAGCGUGUUUAUCUCUCCAAUACCCGAAGGGAUCUCUUGCAACUGCCAAAGAUCUCGAGCAACGAGCUUUUCAAGAACUCGAAAAGCAGAGGUGUCUGCAGCACAACACACGACAUCACAGCCGUCAAUUCUCAAGAACCCGAGACAAGGAAACUCAGCGUUGAAAGUGCUCCACUCGCCUCCCAAGAAAGAGUUGUGUUCUAGCUCAAGAACUUGUAGAUGUGGCAACGAACCAAUCGUUGCCAGAUCUUCUCGAGCGAGGCUGCAGUUUC
rnacentral:lncRNA from 1 species